CCACCCCUUCUUCGUCACAAGUGAGACUUUUGGCAUAAUAUUGGGUCCCGGGCCAAAGCCCCAUGCAUUAAGCCUUUCCAGUCUAUAGCCUUUAUACCCAGAGACAGAGAGGACCAGGUCCUAACAGAACCAACUAGAGUCUAUAGCCUUUAUACCCAGAGACAGAGAGGACCAGGUCCUAACAGAACCAACUAGAGUCUAUAGCCUUUAUACCCAGAGACAGAGAGGACCAGGUCCUAACAGAACCAACUAGAGUCUAUAGCCUUUAUACCCAGAGACAGAGAGGACCAGGUCCUAACAGAACCAACUAGAGUCUAUAGCCUUUAUACCCAGAGACAGAGAGGACCAGGUCCUAACAGAACCAACGAGAGUCUAUAGCCUUUAUACCCAGAGACAGAGAGGACCAGGUCCUAACAGAACCAACGAGAGUCUAUAGACUUUAUACCCAGAGACAGAGAGGACCAGGUCCUAACAGAACCAACGAGAGUCUAUAGACUUUAUACCCAGAGACAGAGAGGACCAGGUCCUAACAGAACCAACGAGAGUCUAUAGACUUUAUACCCAGAGACAGAGAGGACCAGGUCCUAACAGAACCAACGAGAGUCUAUAGACUUUAUACCCAGAGACAGAGAGGACCAGGUCCUAACAGAACCAACGAGAGUCUAUAGCCUUUAUACCCAGAGACAGAGAGGACCAGGUCCUAACAGAACCAACGAGAGUCUAUAGACUUUAUACCCAGAGACAGAGAGGACCAGGUCCUAACAGAACCAACGAGAGUCUAUAGACUUUAUACCCAGAGACAGAGAGGACCAGGUCCUAACAGAACCAACGAGAGUCUAUAGACUUUAUACCCAGAGACAGAGAGGACCAGGUCCUAACAGAACCAACGAGAGUCUAUAGACUUUAUACCCAGAGACAGAGAGGACCAGGUCCUAACAGAACCAACUAGAGUCUAUAGCCUUUAUACCCAGAGACAGAGAGGACCGGGUCCUAACAGAACCAACUAGAGUCUAUAGACUUUAUACCCAGAGACAGAGAGGACUGGGUCCUAACAGAACCAACUAGAGUCUAUAGACUUUAUACCCAGAGACAGAGAGGACCAGGUCCUAACAGAACCAACUAGAGUCUAUAGCCUUUAUACCCAGAGACAGAGAGGACCAGGUCCUAACAGAACCAACUAGAGUCUAUAAACGUUAUACCCAGAGACAGAGAGGACUGGGUCCUAAAAGAACCAAUACCCCUUCUCUGUCUGACUCACACCGUGGAAUCUAAGGUCAAGGCAAAUGAAAAGAAGACCAACAGAAGACCAGAGGUAACCCAAACAACCUAAGGUGGGUAACUGCGUACCCAAGAGGCAAAGACCAUGAAUGGUUCAUCUGUUAAUGACGUCAAACUGUAGACAAACAUUCACGGAACAAGGACACGAGAGACAUUAGAAACUUUGAAGGCGUUCCCCAGGUUAACACUGUAACAUGGCUAUAAUGACCGAAUAAAACUCAAUGUUUUUGGGGAUAUACGUACAUAGUCUAUGGCACUUUAAGUGGAGCUUGCAACUUAUCUAGUAAAGCUGGGAUGGGCUUUAAGUGGAGCUUGCAACAUAUAUAGUAAAGCUGGGAUGGGUUUUAAGUGGAGCUAGCAACAUAUCUAGUAAAGCUGGGAUGGGCUUUAAGUGGAGCUUGCAACAUAUAUAGUAAAGCUGGGAUGGGUUUUAAGUGGAGCUUGCAACUUAUCUAGUAAAGCUGGGAUGGGCUUUAAGUGGAGCUUGCAACAUAUCUAGUAAAGCUGGGAUGGGUUUUAAGUGGAGCUUGCAACAUAUCUAGUAAAGCUGGGAUGGGUUUUAAGUGGAGCUUGCAACAUAUCUAGUAAAGCUGGGAUGGGUUUUAAGUGGAGCUUGCAACUUAUCUAGUAAAGCUGGGAUGGGUUUUAAGUGGAGCUUGCAACAUAUCUAG